GGGUGUGACUGCGUACCUUUUGUAUAAUGGGUCAGCGACUUAUAUUCUGUAGCAAGGUUAACCGUAUAGGGGAGCCGCAGGGAAACCGAGUCUUAACUGGGCGUUAAGUUGCAGGGUAUAGACCCGAAACCCGGUGAUCUAGCCAUGGGCAGGUUGAAGGUUGGGUAACACUAACUGGAGGACCGAACCGACUAAUGUUGAAAAAUUAGCGGAUGACUUGUGGCUGGGGGUGAAAGGCCAAUCAAACCGGGAGAUAGCUGGUUCUCCCCGAAAGCUAUUUAGGUAGCGCCUCGUGAAUUCAUCUUCGGGGGUAGAGCACUGUUUCGGCUAGGGGGUCAUCCCGACUUACCAACCCGAUGCAAACUACGAAUACCGAAGAAUGUUAUCACGGGAGACACACGGCGGGUGCUAACGUCCGUCGUGAAGAGGGAAACAACCCAGACCGCCAGCUAAGGUCCCAAAGUCACAGUUAAGUGGGAAACGAUGUGGGAAGGCACAGACAGCCAGGAUGUUGGCUUAGAAGCAGCCAUCAUUUAAAGAAAGCGUAAUAGCUCACUGGUCGAGUCGGCCUGCGCGGAAGAUGUAACGGGGCUAAACUGUGCACCGAAGCUGCGGCAGCGACACUAUGUGUUGUUGGGUAGGGGAGCGUUCUGUAAGCCUGCGAAGGUGGCCUGUGAGGGUUGCUGGAGGUAUCAGAAGUGCGAAUGCUGACAUAAGUAACGAUAAUGCGGGUGAAAAGCCCGCACGCCGGAAGACCAAGGGUUCCUGUCCAACGUUAAUCGGGGCAGGGUGAGUCGACCCCUAAGGCGAGGCCGAAAGGCGUAGUCGAUGGGAAACAGGUUAAUAUUCCUGUACUUGGUGUUACUGCGAAGGGGGGACGGAGAAGGCUAUGUUAGCCGGGCGACGGUUGUCCCGGUUUAAGCAUGUAGGCGGAGGUUCCAGGUAAAUCCGGUACCUUAUUAACGCUGAGGUGUGAUGACGAGGCACUACGGUGCUGAAGUAACAAAUGCCCUGCUUCCAGGAAAAGCCUCUAAGCAUCAGGUAACAUUAAAUCGUACCCCAAACCGACACAGGUGGUCAGGUAGAGAAUACCAAGGCGCUUGAGAGAACUCGGGUGAAGGAACUAGGCAAAAUAGUGCCGUAACUUCGGGAGAAGGCACGCUGAUAUGUAGGUGAAGCCCCUGCGGGUGGAGCUGAAAUCAGUCGAAGAUACCAGCUGGCUGCAACUGUUUAUUAAAAACACAGCACUGUGCAAACACGAAAGUGGACGUAUACGGUGUGACGCCUGCCCGGUGCCGGAAGGUUAAUUGAUGGGGUUAUCCGUAAGGAGAAGCUCUUGAUCGAAGCCCCGGUAAACGGCGGCCGUAACUAUAACGGUCCUAAGGUAGCGAAAUUCCUUGUCGGGUAAGUUCCGACCUGCACGAAUGGCGUAAUGAUGGCCAGGCUGUCUCCACCCGAGACUCAGUGAAAUUGAACUCGCUGUGAAGAUGCAGUGUACCCGCGGCCAGACGGAAAGACCCCGUGAACCUUUACUAUAGCUUGACACUGAACAUUGAGCCUUGAUGUGUAGGAUAGGUGGGAGGCUUUGAAGCGUGGACGCCAGUCUGCGUGGAGCCAACCUUGAAAUACCACCCUUUAAUGUUUGAUGUUCUAACGUUGGCCCCUGACCGGGGUUGCGGACAGUGUCUGGUGGGUAGUUUGACUGGGGCGGUCUCCUCCCAAAGAGUAACGGAGGAGCACGAAGGUUAGCUAAUCCUGGUCGGACAUCAGGAGGUUAGUGCAAUGGCAUAAGCUAGCUUGACUGCGAGCGUGACGGCGCGAGCAGGUGCGAAAGCAGGUCAUAGUGAUCCGGUGGUUCUGAAUGGAAGGGCCAUCGCUCAACGGAUAAAAGGUACUCCGGGGAUAACAGGCUGAUACCGCCCAAGAGUUCAUAUCGACGGCGGUGUUUGGCACCUCGAUGUCGGCUCAUCACAUCCUGGGGCUGAAGUAGGUCCCAAGGGUAUGGCUGUUCGCCAUUUAAAGUGGUACGCGAGCUGGGUUUAGAACGUCGUGAGACAGUUCGGUCCCUAUCUGCCGUGGGCGCUGGAGAAUUGAGGGGGGCUGCUCCUAGUACGAGAGGACCGGAGUGGACGCAUCACUGGUGUUCGGGUUGUCAUGCCAAUGGCAUUGCCCGGUAGCUAAAUGCGGAAGAGAUAAGUGCUGAAAGCAUCUAAGCACGAAACUUGCCCCGAGAUGAGUUCUCCCUGACUCCUUGAGAGUCCUGAAGGAACGUUAAAGACGAUGACGUUGAUAGGUCGGGUGUGUAAGCGUAGCGAUACGUUGAGCUAACCGAUACUAAUGAACCGUGAGGCUUAACCUU
rnacentral:rRNA from 1 species